rnacentral:lncRNA from 1 species
ACGUCGUCUCAUACCGGACGGGGUAUGGAGACUUGGUCAUUUGGCGCUCAUACUAGACGGGGUAUGGGGACGGCCCGCUUCACCCUCAUACCGGACGGGGUAUUGAGGUUUAUUCUUUUGGCACUCAAACCAGACGAGGUAUGGGGAUGGCCCUGUAAUUAAGAUUGUUAAGGGGAAUGGUUCACAUUUAGUGGGGACCCCUAUGGAUCCCCAUGGAUACUAAUAUGCUGGUGAAAACGAGAACGGUGAUAAUCUGUUAUUGUUAAUGAAUACAGAUUUAUGAUGUGUUUUAUGUUACUGAUUAUGCAUGAAAUUGUGAUCUGUAUGAUGUUAUUGUCUUUAUAGGUUGUUUUCACAGGUGCUCUAAGGGUAAAAAAAAGGUAAGUGGUUUUAUUUUAAAUAAUUGAAUUAGUUU